UUUGCCAUUUUAAUUUCUAAUUUCAUUUUUCUUUUUUAUUUCUUUAAUUCCAUUUCAUUUCAAAAAAUCAUAUCUCCUUCAUUAUUGGUCCAAAAAAUGUGAGACCAAUUGCAUUUUUCUUCUUUUAAUUUCUAGUUUCUAAAAAUGAUUUUUAAUAUUUUUAUUUUAUCAUUUGAUAUUUUUUAUGAAUUUUCUCUUUUCUGGUUAUUUUUAAUUCAUUUUAAAUAGUUU
rnacentral:lncRNA from 1 species